rnacentral:rRNA from 1 species
GUGGUAAUGCCGGAUGUUCCACAUGAUCGCAUGUGAUUGUGGGAAAGAUUCUAUCGGCGUGGGAUGGGGUCGCGUCCUAUCAGCUUGUUGGUGAGGUAACGGCUCACCAAGGCUUCGACGGGUAGCCGGCCUGAGAGGGCGACCGGCCACAUUGGGACUGAGAUACGGCCCAGACUCCUACGGGAGGCAGCAGUGGGGAAUAUUGCACAAUGGGCGCAAGCCUGAUGCAGCGACGCCGCGUGAGGGAUGGAGGCCUUCGGGUUGUAAACCUCUUUUGUUUGGGAGCAAGCCUUCGGGUGAGUGUACCUUUCGAAUAAGCGCCGGCUAACUACGUGCCAGCAGCCGCGGUAAUACGUAGGGCGCAAGCGUUAUCCGGAUUUAUUGGGCGUAAAGGGCUCGUAGGCGGCUCGUCGCGUCCGGUGUGAAAGUCCAUCGCUUAACGGUGGAUCUGCGCCGGGUACGGGCGGGCUGGAGUGCGGUAGGGGAGACUGGAAUUCCCGGUGUAACGGUGGAAUGUGUAGAUAUCGGAAAAGAAACACCA